rnacentral:rRNA from 1 species
GCUGAUAGCGACUGAGGAGACAUUAACGAGUAAACAUGGGGAGUUGUAGCUGGCCGCUAGGCAUGUGCACGCUCCCUGCUCAAUCCAACCUUACACCUGUGCAUCCAUUGUAGGUCGGGUGGUCUGACUCCUAGCGGGAUCGGACUUGCCCCUCCUAUGUCUCUUCACACAUACACUUUGUAGUAUCAGAACGUAAUCUGCGGUAAACGCAUCUAUAACAACUUUCAACAACGGAUCUCUUGGCUCUCGCAUCGAUGAAGAACGCAGCGAAAUGCGAUAAGUAAUGUGAAUUGCAGAAUUCAGUGAAUCAUCGAAUCUUUGAACGCACCUUGCGCUCCUUGGUAUUCCGAGGAGCAUGCCUGUUUGAGUGUCAUGAAAUUCUCAACCCAUCUGGCUUUGUUGUCUGGUGGGAUUGGACUUUGGGGGCUUGCCGGCUGACUUUAGCUGGCUCCUCUCUAAAUGCAUUAGCUGGACCCGUUGCGGACCGGUGCUCGGUGUGAUAAUUGUCUACGCCGUCAUCGUGAAGUGCCCUGGUGGAUCGGCUUCCAACCGUCUUAUGACAACACUUGACAUUUUGACCUCAAAUCAGGUAGGAUUACCCGCUGAACUUAAGCAUAUCAUAA